AUUGAACGCUGGCGGCAUGCUUUACACAUGCAAGUCGAACGGCAGCGCGGGCUUCGGCCUGGCGGCGAGUGGCGAACGGGUGAGUAAUACAUCGGAACGUGCCCAGUAGUGGGGGAUAGCUCGGCGAAAGCCGGAUUAAUACCGCAUACGACCUGAGGGUGAAAGCGGGGGAUCUUCGGACCUCGCGCUAUUGGAGCGGCCGAUGGCAGAUUAGCUAGUUGGUGGGGUAAAGGCCUACCAAGGCGACGAUCUGUAGCUGGUCUGAGAGGACGACCAGCCACACUGGGACUGAGACACGGCCAAGACUCCUACGGGAGGCAGCAGUGGGGAAUUUUGGACAAUGGGAGAAAGCCUGAUCAAGCAAUGCCGCGUGUGUGAUGAAGGCCUUCGGGUUGUAAAGAACUUUUGGCGGGAACGAAAAGGACUGUGCCAAUACCACGGUUCGAUGACGGUACCCGCAGAAUAAGCACCGGCUAACUACGUG
rnacentral:rRNA from 1 species